UACGUAGGGCGCAAGCGUUUGUCCGGAAUUAUUGGGCGUAAAGAGCUCGUAGGCGGUUUUGUCGCGUCUGCUGUGAAAACCUAAGGCUCAACCUUGGGCUUGCAGUGGGUACGGGCAGACUAGAGUGCGGUAGGGGGUGACUGGAAUUCCUGGUGUAGCGGUGGAAUGCGCAGAUAUCAGGAGGAACACCGAUGGCGAAGGCAGGUCACUGGGCCGCAACUGACGCUGAGGAGCGAAAGCAUGGGGGAGCGAACAGG
rnacentral:rRNA from 1 species